CUGACUGCUAGCAUGAGGCUGCAAGAACUGGGACAGACAGAACAAGCUAGAAAAGAUCUAGUGCGUCUAAUUUUGGUACGGAAACAAUGAGUCGAGGCUGCAAAGAAACGAGAAGAAGAAAAAGCCGCAAAAGAACAAAAGAAAGCCGGAACUCGGAAGUGAGUGUUCUGGUCUUAUGCUACAAGCUAAGAAGGAUACAUGCUUUACAAGUAUCUGAAAUUUUUUUUUUUAGUCAGUUCAUACAAUGAUAUUACACCUACCAAUCAGACAUGGGUAUAAUUCUUGGGGAUUUAUUUAUACUUUUAUAGCCUUUUUUUGAGGUUAUUAUUCUUUUGUUUGUUUAGCUCAGAUAAAAGCCAUUUAAU